AGAAUUAGUUGCAAAGCGGCUUUCUUGCGGGCAACACCGAGCGAAUCGAGGGACGGAGACCGAGGCGAACCGGAGAAGACUGCCACGCGAAAAGAAAAAUUGGUGCUAAGACCCCGGUAAAAAGAAAACAACAAAAGACAACAGCCCCAUCAAAAACCUCAAGCCAAACGGCGGGAGAAAAGUGCACAAAACACGCAUAAAAAGAUACAAGUUCCUAUUUAAGUGCCGGCCACUUAACACCGUCGAAGUAAAUCGAGUCGAGGCAAGCGGACCCGAGAUGCUCACCAGACAGCCCGACUACACCAUCUCCGAACUGGGCCAUCCCGUCCACCAGUGGCCGGAUUCGACCACGUGCGAGUCCCUCAAGAAACUGGACUACAGAAAGUUGCCAAGCUCGCCGCCCUCACCACAUCGCCUCCUGCCGCUGAGGGAGACCCUGGACGACUGCUUCAAGCGGUUGGCGACGAGGAGCAGAGAAGAUCUGGCGGACGAUCCCACAUACCAGCAGAAACAGCGGAAGAAUCAGUGGAACGAGCAGCAGCGAAAGCGCAGCAAUCAAAAAUGUCGCGAUAAAGUCGAGUCCCGAGCAACAGCAGCGACGACAACGAUAGCGAAGAGCUGCGAUCUGAACAACUUUUGAAAUCAAAACGAGGGAGCAGAACACCUAUGGGGGAGCCAACCUAAGCGGACUGAUUAAAUGUGCUAAAAUAAAACACCUUUUGCCUAGAACACUAACCACGCAGUUAGCAUACGAAAGUAUUCUAAAUGGAAUUUCAGCGGGCCCAUUAAAGUGUAAACACAACGCGGAGAAGAGUAGUGAGCAGAGCAGAACAGCACAGGCUGGCAGCCAAAUUUGGUAGGGAGACAUUGGGGCAGCCUUGAUCAUGAGCACGUCGCCAUGGGGCCAACAAAUUAAGGCUCGGACGUGCUUUCUUUAAAUGGCUAAACGCGUGCGAUCGGAGUAGACCUGAGUUCGCAGCGGAAGAGUCUGCGAUCAUCUAAUGCUGAUGGAAGUCCAACGUUGAUCAUGGAGUGGAAGGCGAAAUGGAGGAACGUCUGUCUAGACGUUAAAACGAGUCUUUACAUUUAGCACCAUAAAAAUAAGAUUGUUCUAACUACUGCGACAAAAAAAGGUUCCUAGGUUAACAUAUUAAAUUAAGUUGAAAAAAAUAGGGUAACCAAAGCUAAUUAUACAAAUUUUCAGGCAAUUAGUGAAUCUUUCUCUCUCUAAAUGUGAAAGAUUGAAAAUUUCAAUACUUCGGUUUUUAAUUUCUUCAGAGGAUCAAUCAAUUCAAUCCGAACUGAAAUAAAUUAAAACCGCAGUCGCAAAUAUAUCAAGCCAAUUAGACACAAUCGAUACAAUAAUGAAAUGGAUUGCCUUUUCUUGAGAUUUUCUUAAUUGCCCCUGCAUUUGUACUCUUUCCGGCACCCAAAGC